GGGCCCGCACAAGCGGCGGAGCAUGCGGAUUAAUUCGAUGCAACGCGAAGAACCUUACCAAGGCUUGACAUAUAGAGGAAAAGUGCAGAGAUGCACUCCCCGCAAGGUCUCUAUACAGGUGGUGCAUGGUUGUCGUCAGCUCGUGUCGUGAGAUGUUGGGUUAAGUCCCGCAACGAGCGCAACCCUCGUCCUAUGUUGCCAGCACGUUAAGGUGGGAACUCAUGGGAUACUGCCGGGGUCAACUCGGAGGAAGGUGGGGAUGACGUCAAAUCAUCAUGCCCCUUAUGUCUUGGGCUUCACGCAUGCUACAAUGGCCGGUACAGAGGGCAGCAAUACCGCAAGGUGGAGCGAAUCCCAGAAAGCCGGUCUCAGUUCGGAUUGAGGUCUGCAACUCGACCUCAUGAAGUCGGAGUCGCUAGUAA
rnacentral:rRNA from 1 species